rnacentral:misc_RNA from 1 species
AACAUGGGUCUCCUCCCUUUUAGGUUAGGAGCCCAUGCAAUGCAAUGACCCACUUGUUUUUUCUUGCAAGCUACAAGCCUGCAAUUCUUCUUUGGGAUCUUUCUUCUAUUCUCUCUUCAUAUUUUUCAUUGUUUUUAAUUUUUAAAUAAAAUAUAAUUAUAUAUAAUCAUAAAAUAAUUAUCCAGUUGCAAUUUUAUGAUAAGUAGGUAUAUUGAAAAUCUGAAAUUGGAACCCGUUACUGUUUUAAUAUAGCCUGUACAGGUUGAUUUGCAGCAUGAGAAACGCGAUCUUUUCAAAACGGAGAAGGUACUUUCACCCCCAUCUUCCUACCGAUCUGUGCUCUUUCUUUGCCCCUCCAGAACAGGGGACGGCUCCUCCUUGGACCAGAAUAUAGAUUCCUCUCCACCUCCAGAUUGGAAUGUAAAUAGCUCUAUUUUUGUGUGGUUUUACUUUACAGGUCUUUUGAUGUUUUGGUGAGGGUUAGUUGAACAUUUGCCUGGCUUCUGUUGACUCUAACAGUGCAGUCGACCGGGUUGUGGUUUGUGUUUUGACUCUGUGGAUGAUUUGUCACAAUUAGAGCAGGCACCUUUUGAGCUUUCAUGCUGACUGUCUAGUGGUAGUCGACCCCUAACGCUAUAAGAGAGUGAGAAGCUAUGAGCUAUGCAUGCACCACCAUCCAAUGGCUGCUGGUGAUGGGUCUGGGUUGUGGAGCAUAGGAGGUCUAGGCAUUAGGGGAAGGAAGGCUCGAUAAUUGGUCAAAAUGCUUUAUUCAAAAAUGUGACAACUCGUGUUUGGUACUUCAGGGGCCUUCUGCUUGUCGGGACUGUUUCUCUCUGCUACCAAAGAAUUAGAUGGCGAAAGGAGCUUGGUCGGUCUCUGCAUUCCUUUCUUAGCUUAAGGUUUCUUGUUUUAGGCGCUGGGUCUUACUCUUAUUAGCCAGAAUUGAUAGGCCCCCUAGCUGCCCCCUAUUUCAUAUUCUCAAGUCUGGAGUCUUACUAUUGAAUUGUGGAUUUGGGCCUUGGCCACGUACUGAUUUUCUCUACCUAACGAAAUUUCUCUUUCAAAUCGUUUUAGCUUUUGGUUUCCUUCUUGGAGAUUUCCUGAAAUUUUGGUAAGAAAGUUAAGAGGUUGGAAUUGACAAAGAUGAACUGAAAAUAUGACGUCGUUCUUCACUCAAACAACACCCUUUCUAAGCCCAUCUUUACCGCCAUGCGGCGCAGGUUUUGCUCUGUGAUUGAAGGAAACAUUGACAGGUUUUCGAGUUCGAAAAUCGAGUGAAAAUGGGGCUGUAGGAACUAGGAAUUCCGAGUACAACGACGUGUCGUUCCCUUCUGACCUUUCCCAGUCUGAUAAUUUUCUUCCUCUCUUACAGGACAUGGGUUAUUUCUUUCUUGCUGGCAUAUCUCUCCAAAUUUUAGCUCCUUUACAUGCACUACCCUUACAAGUUCUUUAAUUCUGAUUUAUUUUGGAUUCAUUUUGAGUUUUCUUUUUUAAAAUUUCAUCUUUUUCUCAAUCUUAAUACAAAUUUUUAUUUGUAUAGAAUCAUAUGAAUACUGGAAGAAGGCAGUGAAUUUGAAUGAUGGGUGAAGAAACUAUCUAUUCUUUCAUCCAUUCAACAAAUUUCUUGAAAUUUUGGUAAGAGCUACCACCUUCAUUGACACUGUUUAUGACCAUUUUCUUGAGAUCCAAAGCUCUUGCUUUAAAUUCCCCAUUGCUCAAUAGUUGCUCCACCUUAUUCUUGAUUUCUCCUUGCAUAAUCCUCCCAAUUUCAUCUUUGUCAAAUCCUAAUCCAAUCUUCCAAAUAUCACAAAUGUAGCUCUGGUUCAAGAACUGGUCAGCAAAGUAAGGCCAGCACAAGAAAAGGAUCCCAUUGCUUACACCUUCCAUGGUAGAGUUCCAGCCGCAGUGACUCACAAAACAAGCAACAGAUGGAUGGGCCAGAACUUUCUGUUGAGGUGCCCAAUCAACCACCUUGCCCCUUGUGCCUACUCUGUCUUGAAAUUCUUUGAGGAAGGCAUCGUUUGUCCCCUUCCUUAUAUCUGACCUUAUCACCCAGAGGAAUGGUUUGUUACAACGUUCCAAUCCUAAAGCCAAUUCUUGAAACUGUGCUGGAUCAAAAACAGUGAAACUUCCAAAUGCAACAUAGAUGACAGAUUCUGGUGGCUGCUGAUCGAGCCAUGCCAGACAAGUUGGGUCCUCUGGCCAGAAAUUUCCUACCGAAUCUUCCUGUCUGUUGCUUGCUAAAAGUGGGCCUAUAGGAAGUACCUGUGGAGCCAAGUUAAAUGCUCCAGGCUCAAGGUCAUAAGUUGAGUUGCAGAGCAGCCAGUCUGUCAACUUGGCAGAUUUGUUGUUCCUAACCAUCAGUCCAAAAAUAUUCUUCUGUGCUUCCUUGUUGCCAAGGCAGGCCCACACAAAGUUGGCAGGGUACAUGGCUGGCAUUGUUGGUGAAAUCUGAACUAUCUGCUUUUGUUUUGGGGUUCCUGUAAUUGGAAAUAAAAUCUCAUUCUGUAAUUAUUUCUUAAAGACAUAUUAAAGAAGAGUUUCGACUAAUAAGAAAGUUAGCAAUACUAGAAUAGCCCACCAUGCUCAUCUAUGAUUCCAUCUUCUAUCAGCUUUGGGAUGCUGAAUCCCAGGACCAACUGUGCAGCUGCUGCAGGACAGAAGGCAGCACGACGAAUUCCUCUUUUUUCUGCAAUUUCCAAGGCCCACCCGAAACUCUGAUCGGCGAGGAUACAGCUGAUCUUAUCACUGCCUGAAGAAUUAAUUUCUUCAAUAAGCUCCUCUACUUUUCCUGGCAUAACCCUCAAGAUUGCUUCAGAUGACUUCCCAGGCUUAUUCUUAUCCUCUGAGGAUUGGAUUCCGUCUGGAACUGAAACUAGUUGAAUUUGAUCCCCAAUAUUACCCUUUGAGGUAUUCUUGAUCAGCUGAUGAUAAUACUCUGUGAUUACAAAUGUGAUUCUGAAGCCAUAUUUGGCUAAGCAUUUAGACAGCUCCAUAAGGGGAAUAACAUGGCCUUGCGCUGGAUAAGGUAUUACUAGAAUGUGUAGAUUGACCAUUCUGCUAACUCUUCUGGUGCUGCAGUCUGCAGAUACCAUAUGCUACUCUCGUAUAGUUUUUUAACUUUAAAUUCAUUUCACACUAUAAUUAAGGAGCCCAGAAGGAAAUGGCCAACACUGGAGAAACUGUCUUCUUGUGUGACGCUGAAUGGAAUCUUGAAAUUGGCAUCCACUAUUCCUCCUUAACUAAGAUAAAAACAAAUUAGUCUCUCGGCUUAUUCUAUUCAAUUACUGAAAUUUCUCUUUAUUUAG